GGACUACUAGGGUUUCUAAUCCUGUUUGCUACCCACGCUUUCGUGUCUCAGCGUCAGUGAUGGUCCAGAAAGCUGUCUACACCGCAGGUGUUCCUCCUGAUAUCUACGCAUUUCACCGCUACACCAGGAAUUCCGCUUUCCUCUCCCAUACUCAAGCCCUCCAGUUUUCCGCGCACCCUCCCAGUUGAGCCGGGAGAUUUCACACGGAACUUAGAGAACCGCCUACACACUCUUUACGCCCAGUAACUCCGAACAACGCUUGCUGCCUACGUAUUACCGCGGCUGCUGGCAC
rnacentral:rRNA from 1 species